rnacentral:rRNA from 1 species
GACGAACGCUGGCGGCGUGCUUAACACAUGCAAGUCGAACGAAUGACCUAAAACGGAUCUCUUCGGAGUGAAGAUUUAAUGAUUUAGUGGCGAACGGGUGAGUAACACGUGAGAAACCUACCUAGCACAGAGGAAUAGCCGUUGGAAACGACGAUUAAUACCUCAUGACAUCACAUUAAGGCAUCUUAGUAUGAUUAAAGAUUUUAUCGGUGUUAGAUGGUCUCGCGUCUGAUUAGCUAGUUGGUAAGGUAACGGCUUACCAAGGCAACGAUCAGUAGCCGGUCUGAGAGGAUGAACGGCCACACUGGAACUGAGACACGGCCAG